rnacentral:rRNA from 1 species
CGAAAGUUCCCUUCGGGGGGCGAGUAGAGUGGCGCACGGGUGAGUAACACGUAGGUAAUCUACCUUUGGGUGGGGAAUAACAGCCGGAAACGGCUGCUAAUACCGCAUAAUGCAGCGGCUCGACAUCGAGACAGUUGUUAAAGCGGGGGAUCGCAAGACCUCGCGCCUAAAGAGGAGCCUGCGGCGGAUUAGCUUGUUGGUGAGGUAAUGGCUCACCAAGGCAUCGAUCCGUAGCCGGCCUGAGAGGGCGGUCGGCCACACUGACACUGACAUACGGGUCAGACUCCUACGGGAGGCAGCAGUCGGGAAUUUUGGGCAAUGGGCGCAAGCCUGACCCAGCAACGCCGCGUGAAGGAUGAAAUCCCUCGGGAUGUAAACUUCGCAAGAACAGGAAGAAUAAGUGGGGGACAAUACCCCCCAUGAUGACGGUACUGUUUGUAAGCUCCGGCUAACUCCGUGCCAGCAGCCGCGGUAAUACGGGGGGAGCAAGCGUUAUUCGGAUUUACUGGGCGUAAAGGGCGCGUAGGCGGUCGUGACAAGUCACUUGUGAAAUCUCCGGGCUUAACUCGGAAAGGUCAAGUGAUACUGUCGGACUAGAGUGCAGAAGGGGCAACUGGAAUUCUCGGUGUAGCGGUGAAAUGCGUAGAUAUCGAGAGGAACACCUGCGGCGAAGGCGGGUUGCUGGGCUGACACUGACGCUGAGGCGCGAAAGCCAGGGGAGCGAACGGGAUUAGAUACCCCGGUAGUCCUGGCCUUAAACGAUGAAUGCUUGGUGUCUCGGGUUACAUAGUCCCGGGGUGCCGUCGCUAACGCUUUUAGCAUUCC